AGAGUUUGAUCCUGGCUCAGGAUGAACGCUGGCGGCGUGCUUAACACAUGCAAGUCGAACGAAGCACUUUAUUUGAUUUCCUUCGGGACUGAUUAUUUUGUGACUGAGUGGCGGACGGGUGAGUAACGCGUGGGUAACCUGCCUUGUACAGGGGGAUAACAGUUGGAAACGGCUGCUAAUACCGCAUAAGCGCACAGCAUCGCAUGAUGCAGUGUGAAAAACUCCGGUGGUAUAAGAUGGACCCGCGUUGGAUUAGCUAGUUGGUGAGGUAACGGCCCACCAAGGCGACGAUCCAUAGCCGACCUGAGAGGGUGACCGGCCACAUUGGGACUGAGACACGGCCCAAACUCCUACGGGAGGCAGCAGUGGGGAAUAUUGCACAAUGGGCGAAAGCCUGAUGCAGCGACGCCGCGUGAGCGAAGAAGUAUUUCGGUAUGUAAAGCUCUAUCAGCAGGGAAGAUAAUGACGGUACCUGACUAAGAAGCACCGGCUAAAUACGUGCCAGCAGCCGCGGUAAUACGUAUGGUGCAAGCGUUAUCCGGAUUUACUGGGUGUAAAGGGAGCGCAGGCGGUGCGGCAAGUCUGAUGUGAAAGCCCGGGGCUCAACCCCGGUACUGCAUUGGAAACUGUCGUACUAGAGUGUCGGAGGGGUAAGCGGAAUUUCUAGUGUAGCGGUGAAAUGCGUAGAUAUUAGGAGGAACACCAGUGGCGAAGGCGGCUUACUGGACGAUAACUGACGCUGAGGCUCGAAAGCGUGGGGAGCAAACAGGAUUAGAUACCCUGGUAGUCCACGCCGUAAACGAUGA
rnacentral:rRNA from 1 species